AUACGGAGGGUGCAAGCGUUGUUCGGAAUCACUGGGCGUAAAGGGCGCGCAGGCGGUUUGGUAAGUCAGAUGUGAAAGCCCACGGCUCAACCGUGGAAGUGCAUUUGAAACUGCCAGACUUGAGUACCAGAGGGGAAAGUGGAAUUCCCGGUGUAGAGGUGAAAUUCGUAGAUAUCGGGAGGAAUACCGGUGGCGAAGGCGACUUUCUGGCUGGAUACUGACGCUGAGGCGCGAAAGCGUGGGGAGCGAACAGGAUUAGAAACCCCGGUAGUCC
rnacentral:rRNA from 1 species